UCUCCCUUGAUCCAGCCGCCCCCGCCCCUUCCUCCUCGACCCCGGCCCUCCCUGCGUGGACGCCGCCCCGGCCGGCCCACGGCCUAGCCUGGCCGGCCCCCUGCUGGUCCGACCGGCCGGCCCCUCCGGCGACCGCCCCCUGCCGCUCCGGUGGUCGUCCCCUGCCCCGACCGGCCGCCCCCUGCUCCGGUGGUCGUCCCCUGCUCCGGUGGUCGCCCCCUCAUCCGUAGAGGAUUUCUGGUGUUGCCUCCGGUGGAGUGAUCAUUGACGUUGGAGCUCUUGGUCUUUGAUUGUCCCUUCGCUGAUCGACUACAUCAUCUACAUCCGAGGGUUUAAUAAUCAUGGGCAAGUCCAGCGGCGCUAGUUUCCUCAGUAAAUUUAAAGGACUUACUCGGAGUGGAC